rnacentral:rRNA from 1 species
CUACGGGUCGCUGCAGUGGGGAAUUUUGCGCAGUGGGGGAAACCCUGACGCAGCAAUACCGCGUGAGUGAAGAAGGCCUUUGGGUCGUAAAGCUCUUUUCUUGGGGAAGAUAGUGACGGUACCCAAGGAAUAAGCACCGGCUAACUCCGUGCCAGCAGCCGCGGUAAUACGGAGGGUGCAAGCGUUGUUCGGAUUUACUGGGCGUAAAGGGCACGUAGGCGGCACAGCAAGUUAAGGGUGAAAUCCCGGGGCUCAACUCCGGAACUGCUCUUAAAACUGCUGAGCUAGAGAUCGUCAGAGGCGGGUGGAAUUCCAGGUGUAGAGGUGAAAUUCGUAGAUAUCUGGAGGAACACCGGUGGCGAAGGCGGCCCGCUGGGGCUAUUCUGACGCUAAGGUGCGAAAGCGUGGGGAGCAAACGGGAUUAGAUACCCUCGUAGUC